rnacentral:rRNA from 1 species
GCGUCGAUGUCGACUAGCCGUUGGGGUCCUCGAGACCUUUGUGGCGCAGUUAACGCACUAAGUCGACCGCCUGGGGAGUACGGCCGCAAGGUUAAAACUCAAAUGAAUUGACGGGGGCCCGCACAAGCGGUGGAGCAUGUGGUUUAAUUCGAUGCAACGCGAAGAACCUUACCUACCCUUGACAUCGUGCGAACUUUCCAGAGAUGGAUUGGUGCCUUCGGGAGCGCACAGACAGGUGCUGCAUGGCUGUCGUCAGCUCGUGUUGUGAAAUGUUGGGUUAAGUCCCGUAACGAGCGCAACCCUUGUCCCUAUUUGCCAGCGAUUCGGUCGGGAACUCUAGGGAGACUGCCGGUGACAAACCGGAGGAAGGUGGGGACGACGUCAAGUCAUCAUGGCCCUUACGGGUAGGGCUACACACGUGCUACAAUGGCCGGUACAAUGGGUUGCAAAGCGGCGACGUGGAGCUAAUCUCAUAAAGCCGGUCUCAGUCCGGAUCGGAGUCUGCAACUCGACUCCGUGAAGUCGGAAUCGCUAGUAAUCGUGCAUCAGAAUGGCACGGUGAAUACGUUCCCGGGCCUUGUACACACCGCCCGUCACACCAUGGGAGUGGACUGCACCAGAAGUGGUUAGCCUAACUUCGGAGGGCGAUCACCACGGUGUGGUUCAUGACUGGGGUGAAUCUAAAAGGGGGGGUCCAAAAAGAA